CCCGCCCUCCAGGAAAUCGCGCCAAAACAGCUCUGCCUCCGCCCUCAAAUGACGUAAGUCUCCCCACAAUUCUGCCAUUCCUCCUGGGUCCCCCCCGCACGGUGCGCAGUGCCUCUCCUGCCCACCGCAUCUGUGAAUAUCAUCGCUGAUUGACAUGAUCUGUUAUUGGAAAUUGCUCCUGCAAAGUUAUUCUUACUAUGCAGUUGAUGCAGUUGAUGAAGAGAGUGAGAUUCAUUGAUGAAGAGAGUGAGAGCAACGUGAAAACAUGAAGUAAAGUGUCUUUAAACAAG